rnacentral:rRNA from 1 species
AACGAACGCUGGCGGCAGGCCUAACACAUGCAAGUCGAGCGGACAUCUUCGGAUGUUAGCGGCGGACGGGUGAGUAACGCGUGGGAACGUGCCCUUUGCUUCGGAAUAGCCUCGGGAAACUGGGAGUAAUACCGGAUGUACCCUUUGGGGGAAAGAUUUAUCGGCAAAGGAUCGGCCCGCGUUGGAUUAGGUAGUUGGUGGGGUAAUGGCCUACCAAGCCGACGAUCCAUAGCUGGUUUGAGAGGAUGAUCAGCCACACUGGGACUGGGACACGGCCCAGACUCCAGGGGGGGGAGGGGGGGGGGAAAUUUAGGAAGGGGGGGAAACCCUGAUCUGGCCAGGCCGGGUGGGCGAUAAAGGCUUUGGGUUUGAAAAGCGCUUGCCCCGGGGAGGAAAAGGCGGGAACCGGGAAAAAAACCCCCGCUAACCCCCUG